CAAAGGCUUGGUCCUGACUUUAAUAUCAACUUUAGCUACACUUACACAUGCAAGUAUCCGCACCCCUGUGAGAAUGCCCCACAGUUCCCCGUCCGGGAACAAGGAACUGGUAUCAGGCACAUUUUAAGCCCACGACACCUUGCUUAGCCACACCCCCAAGGGAAUUCAGCAGUGAUAAACAUUAAGCUAUGAGUGAAAACUUGACUUAGUCAAAGCUAAGAGGGCCGGUAAAACUCGUGCCAGCCACCGCGGUUAUACGAGAGACCCAAGUUGAUAAACACCGGCGUAAAGAGUGGUUAAGUUAAAAUGAAAACUAAAGCCGAACGCCCCCAAGGCUGUUAUACGCAUCCGGAGGUAAGAAGUUCAACCACGAAAGUGACUUUAUGUAACCUGAACCCACGAAAGCUAAGAUACAAACUGGGAUUAGAUACCCCACUAUGCCUAGCCAUAAACAUUGAUAGAGCAAUACAACCUCUAUCCGCCAGGGGACUACAAGCAUCAGCUUAAAACCCAAAGGACUUGGCGGUGCUUUAGAUCCACCUAGAGGAGCCUGUUCUAGAACCGAUAACCCCCGUUUAACCUCACCUCUGCUUGUUUAUUCCGCCUAUAUACCACCGUCGUCAGCUUACCCUGUGAAGGACUAGUAGUAAACUAAACUGGUAAAACCCCAAACGUCAGGUCGAGGUGUAGCGUAUGAAGAGGGAAGAAAUGGGCUACAUUCGCUACAAUAGCGAACACGAAUGAUACCCUGAAACACGUAUCUGAAGGAGGAUUUAGCAGUAAGUGGAAAAUAGAGAGUUCUACUGAAAUCGGCCCUGAAGCACGCACACAUCGCCCGUCACUCUCCCCAAGCCUAAUAAACAUAAGUAACUAAACCUAACUAAUUGAAAAGGGGAGGCAAGUCGUAACAUAGUAAGUGUACCAGAAGGUGCACUUGGAAAAGCAGAGCGUAGCUAAGAUAGCAAAGCAUCUCCCUUACACUGAGAAGUCAUCCGUGCAAGUCGGAUCGCCCUGACACCUAACAGCUAGCCCACCCAAACAACUUCAAUAAACCAAUCUUAAUACCCCAAAAGACACUAAUUUUUAGUUAAACAAACCAUUUUUCCCCUCUAGUAUAGGCGAUAGAAAAAGA
rnacentral:ncRNA from 1 species